rnacentral:rRNA from 1 species
GAUGAACGCUGGCGGCGUGCCUAAUACAUGCAAGUCGAGCGAACAGACGAGGAGCUUGCUCCUCUGACGUUAGCGGCGGACGGGUGAGUAACACGUGUAUAACCUACCUAUAAGACUGGGAUAACUUCGGGAAACCGGAGCUAAUACCGUAUAAUAUAUUGAACCGCGUGGUUCAAUAGUAAAAUACGGUGUUUCUGGCACUUAUAGAUGGAUCCGCGCGUCAUUAGCUAGUUGGUAAGGUAACGGCUUACCAAGGCAACGAUGCGUAGACGACCUGAGAGGGUGAUCGGCCACACUGGAACUGAGACACGGUCCAGACUCCUACGGGAGGCAGCAGUAGGGAAUGUGCGGCAAUGGGCGAAAGCCUGACGGAGCAACGCCGCGUGAGUGAUGACGGUCUUCGGAUCGUAAAAAUCUGUUAUUAGGGAAGAACAAAUGUGUAAGUAACUAUGCACGUAUUGACGGUACCUAAUCAGAAAGCAACGGCUAACUACGUG